UGUCGCGAAAAUUUUAUUUCCUAAUGUUUGCCUGUCACGAUAUUUAAAUGGCUAGUAAUUAAUUUGUAUAACAUGCUGUUACAAGUAAGCAGUAGUUACUUAGCAAUGAGUAGUCUAUUUCUGCUCCAUUGGCUAACAGUUAUCGAUAUAAUUGAAGCGAGAUCGAAUAACGCGUUUAAUAACACGGUGAAAUUGAUCCGUAACGCACUCAGUGGCAGAGAUCUUUUAAAUUAGUAGAAAAAUCAACGAUAUGAUAAGCACUGGCUUAGUGGAAUUGUAAUAAAUAUUCGGAGACAGUGUGAGAUACAAGGAAAAGAAAAUAAUUCACGCGAUACAUUAAUUUUACGAAUGGCGGCGAAUUAACGGCAGUCAAAUUCUUCAACAUCGUCACUGUAGGGCUGUAAAGUAAUGUUACGCAGGAACAGGCGGCAUCGAAAAGGAUGCACUUAUAGGUGCAGUCCGAGAAUGACGUCAACCUAUUGCCUUUCUAUAAAUAUCGAGUUUCCAAAAGAAGUUCGUUGCCCACGCUUGCAACGCGAACAACAAGGAACCCAAAGAAAAAUUGCCAGCUCUCGUAUAUUAUGCCAGCAGUUUAAUAUAGAGAAGUUUCCAACACGAUUUGGCGAUACUUCGAAGCAAAGAAAUAAACGCUAUGGAUACUCGAACAAAUCGGUAUUUCGUAAAAGAGUGGAUAGGUUGGAGAUGAAAUUCGAACUCGACCUGGUCGCGAUUAUACGAUCGGUAGGUAAGAGGAACGAUCUGUAGGCAAGGAAGCACAAUGCAAAUAUUGAAUGUGGUUUGCAAGAGGAUAAUGCUGAUGACUCAUGUCGAGUGACAGGCCGGACUGACGUUGGUGAAUAAGUACACCGGUGAAUAUUGCGGAUUGUUGCGAGCACACGCACCGAUACACGACAAAGCCGUGGCAUACUUACGCCUAUCCGAAACGAGGCAGUUUUCAAGCUGUAACAUCAUUCGUGUCACGUUCGCUGUUUUUUCGGACUUAAAGCAAUGCAAGUGUUGCCUACGUUCGCUCUUAUACGCAAAAGCAACCCCGUGAAAAGGACUCGAAGAAACGUGGUUGCAGCUUUUUCAAAGGCAAUCGAAAUGUUCAUUCUGCAACAUAUUUCGAAGUUGCUGACGUACGUUUAUCGCUGAAAGGUUUGGAGCAUCCUUCGCUAUUCAGGCAAACAGGUCGUUUCAGGCAAAAGGAGGAUACGACUAAUUUAGAAGAUUCGUUUCUUCGCGAAAUAGAGAAGUAGAGCGCUAGGUGUUAUGCUGCGAUUCUCCAAUUUUUACAUUGCAAUUUAUUGCUCUUGUUUUAGCGUACAAAGAGAAGAAACUUUGAUAUAGAAUUUAAACCAGGAACCGUACCACCCAAUUUUCACAUCAAUAACAAUUUUUCCAUAUUUUCUUCAAACUUGAGAUGCUUUUUAACAUUAGAAAAAUGCGGAUGGACUGUAAUGGACUGGAAUAUCGAAUCUUCUUAUGAAAGAACGUAGCUGGGUUAAAAAAACGGUGAGAAAAGGGAACUAAUAUCACGCUCUUUCACAGAAGUAGACGUUCUUUCGCGGAAUCAGUUACCUGCGAACUUUCCUUGCCAAAUCUGUCUCCCUGUUAUCAGAUCUUCCAUACAAGAAAACGUUAUUCACAUUUCGCGAAACAGUUUCAUAGAAGAGGCGCGAAAGCGAGAUGAGCGGGAACUCGUUGGUUGAUUAAUAGAAGUAGCAGUUGCAUCAAGCCACGUUAGAAAGUAAAGGCUAAUUAAAUCUGCGCGAUUGUUCCUCAUGAUUUGUUGCGCUACUAGGUUGAGUCUGUUACGUUACGGUACCGCUACAAGGAUCCAGCCUACGCUUUAAUUCUAGUUGUUUCACCUUCCACAGCCUCUCGUCUCGGCGCCGUACCUUGUCAUUUUCGCAUUCAAGAUUUUACCAUACUUUUCGAAUAGCAUUCUUUACUAUUCGCGAACGAAUACGUUUGUGGUUUUUAAAAUCGUAAUGAAUUAUUCAUAAUCAUAGCAUACCAGUGAAUUCUUUUUCAUUCACUAUUCAUUUUCUUUAAAUACCUAUAGUAUGCAUAAAAUUUCCAUAUAUAACGUUUAAUGGGUGAUACUUGAAGUUAAUUACCCUAUUAAGAUCAUGUAUCGAGUAACUGAUCGAUAGAACGACAUCCGACAGAGGGAAUGUCGCGUAAUGUUUUGGAAGUGUCUGUACUGAUAUUAAACUACGGGGCAAGAGUUUUUUAAACAGAGCAACGUUGCCACUUGGAAAAUAAGCGAUGUAGAACUAAAGAGAAGUAGGAGGGUGGUAACUCCCAAAUAUAACUUUUAAAGUAGUGUCGUCAGUCUUUGAAGCGGUUGUUACGCUCCACUCAACGAGAUUUCAAGUAUUCUUCGGUGUACAGCGGGCAAACAACUCUUUGAAGUAGCGUACUAAAACUUCUACACGAUCGUAAAUUUUAAAAAGCGCCAGUGAACCGUAAUUGCCUAUUUCAUCUCACAUACUCAAAUUCAAAAUCUCGUCAAUGUUCUGUCUCAAAAAGGAAAGAAAAGAAAGAACAUAAGGAAUGGCUACGUGAUAGAAAAAUCCUCCUUUUAAAAUGAUAGAUAUUUUGAAUAUUUGUUUUCAUUACAGAUUAUCCAUUCAUAGUGUCCGCUCACAAUUGUUCUCUACGUCACACGCUUGGAUUGUCUCUGGGGAAUGCAGCAUCCAUAGAAAAGUCUAUAGAAUUCUGUUACAGUGCGUGAAUCUUUUUAAAGCUUAAGAAAUAUUCGCCCCUGAAUGUAUUAACAUAGCCGGCACGGGAAUCUUGUAACAAAGCUCAGAGCCGGCAUAUUCUAAAUACUUGAGCUCGUAAGCAAACACGUGUCUCAAAUUUUCUCCCAUACUUUCUUAACUUGCGCAAGCUGGACGGCUUUGUUGGAUCUAGAACUCGGUUGUCCACGUAUGUACCGUGUCUCUGGGCUUCUAUGAAUCGGCGUGUCACGUAACGACAGCGUAGAAAUUGUGCUGUGGUAAUUCGCCCACGCUUGCUCGCACAGCCUCGUCGUUUCUCGCCUUUUGCCCGUAUAAUACAUCUCCGGUUCGUCGAAGAACGCGUGACGUCGAUGUGUCAUCGGACCGGGAUGAUUUUAGGUACCAGCCAGAGCACGGACGACAACAUAUUUCACUCGUUUAAAAAUCUGGCUACAAAGGAAUUCUUCGCAGCUAUUGAGAACCCGGCUUCCCACGCCUUCCGCAAUGUAUUCUCGUUCAUCUGUUACGUGUCGCCUUUCAAUGCAUCGCGUAAUCAUGCGUUUGAUCUUCCCCAUUUCUUCUGCCAUGGGACACGGUUUACGCCUCAUCCUUGUCGAUCCGAUAGUAAAGGGAAUUUUUAAAUGACGGACUUAGAGGAUAGAUGGAUUAUGUAGACAGGUUCACUAAAUACUAACGAUAGUAUACUAGAAAGUAUCGUAUUGUAUUUACGAAUAUAUUAUAUUUGUAUAUUUCGAAUAUAGAUAUUUUACAAUUUUAUUAGCGCUGUUACGACACUGAGUUUUUUUUUUUUUUAAUUUGUACUUUACAAUUUGUCCAGCUGGGCAUUUGGUAAAUUUGUCUAUCUUAAUCGCUAAAUACCAUGUGGAUGGCUACCCCCAGCGGGAUACCAUCUUCGAGUUUGACUAUUUUAUUUCUUUAGUGAGGUCAGUGGAGUGUUUUCUUUCUAGUCUUCUUUCUAUGAGAGUUUUGCUCGCUUCAACAGCCAGCUGAUGUGUAUUGGUAAAAUCUGAAACAAAUCUGAAAAUAUGUUCCAUAGAAAUUAUACGCAACAUAUAAUCAUAGUAACUAAUAAUUAGUAAUAGAAAUAUAUUUCACUAAUUAACCAAAUCUAUUAAAUUACCGUCUUUUAUUCUUACAAGUUUCUAAUUGAAACUUUUAUCAUGUAGAUCUACGAUUGUACAUAUACAAAAAAUAUUUAGUACAACAAACUCACUAUCUAUAUAGUAUAGUUAUUAUACCCAAAUAUAAAUAUCAAAUGUUCUUUUAUCUGUAUUUCAGAUCGCAAUCUCUCGCACCAACACAAAACUCUGAUUGAUUGGUCGUUUGCCUGAUAAUUUAGAUUAAUUAUGACAUUAGUAGUCGUUAACUGUAACAUAUUUAUGAUCCUGUAGUGCAUGCGUAACCUGGCUGUUUUAGGGAUUUUAUAGAAAUGCGUCUCUUAAGUGGGUAGAUAAGUGUUAGGCGUAGGUCGAGAGAUUUCGUAGGCAGAUUUUUUUCUCCUUGUCAAGUGUUGUCAAGUAUUUCUAAUAUCAGAAAUAUCAUUGAAAAUGUUUACUCGUAGCUUACCAGCAAUGUUUAUGGAAUAAUGAGUUUUUUCAUUUUCCAUCCAUAGUUGGUAAUAAAAUCUAUUUCAGGACAUUCGUGUGUGGCAUAUAAAUGUUUAAGUAGCGUUCGGUUAUAUUGAAUUACUAGCUUAAUCAGGAAAUGACAGGCGUGCAUUUUAUGUUUGACCUUGACGGCAACAACGUAGACUCCAUACAGAAUAUUAUUCAUCCGGAAAAUUCCAUUUCACGUAAUGUUUAAAACAUACACGCGAUUGAACUGCAAAUGACUUGUAACUCUAAAUUCCAGUUGAAGAAGUUUCGCUAUUGAUCGGUUUGAUUACUAUGUUCAUUUACAUUUCUUUGUAUGUUUAUCCUAAAGUCAAAAGUUAAUCUGUUUGC